rnacentral:piRNA from 1 species
UGGCUUCUCCGGUGCCUGACUGGCAU